rnacentral:lncRNA from 1 species
CUCCGUUUAUAUGGCAUUUGCUGUGCUUUGGAAUAAAAGAGCUUAUUCGAGUUUUGGUUCUCCGCACAUCAGCUGAGUUCGCACAUCGAGACGUGACCGGACUUGAUAUCAACUGAACAGACAUGUGUGUUUGUGUGUGUGUGGUUUUUCCAAUGAUGGGCGGGGCUUUGUGUGGGGGCGGAGCUUGAGUGAUGAAGAGCAGAGAAAGUGCAUUUUGUGCGAACGAGUUCAGUGCAGAUGAUCAAAGUACGAGGAGUGUACUGGGGUGUUUUGAAGGACAAAGGGCGACGCAGAAUUCGAUGCAAUCAAUAAACCAGAGAAAGUCGAGAGACUAAGUGGUGGAACAUGUACGGGAGGUUUUGGUUUUGUUUGCUAUUGCUGUUCUGCACUUCUGCCUUGCACGCUGAAGAAGACGAAGUAAGGACGGAAGAAAAAAGCCAAGAAAUAUUUGAAACUGGGGAUCUGAGAGAAGAGCAGUGGGGUCAGCGAGGAGGAGACAACCGGGAGACUGAAGAUGCUGAUCCGAGUGAUGUGUCGGACGAAGAAUCUGAGAUUGAGAGCCAAGUCGAACGGACGCCUGAUGAGGGUGAUGGAGAGAUUGAGAGGAAAGUGACAGCUGGGCGCAAAGCGAAGCCAAAAAAGCCAAAAGCGAAUAAAAAGAAGAAGAAAUUGCAGAGAGUGAAACUUGGACAGAAGAAGACUGUUCAGGGAGGGGAAGGGGUUGUGAGGUUGGAAGUGGAGAUGGAUAGAACGAAUCGCAGCGAUGGGAAAAUAGGGACAGACACAGAGGGUGGAGAAGAACGAGAUGACUCCGGUCAUGUUGAAGAGGAUGAACACGAAGAGCGACCAAAAAAGAAAGUGAAGAAAGAAAAUCGUCAGUUCUUGGAUUUCGUGACCUCAGCCAAGCCUGCCUCAAUAAUUCAGUGUGGAGUUCGGCUUGCUUUAGUUGGAAGAAUGUUUUUCAAAGAGUCUUUUCCACAACAAGAUGAUUUUCACUCAUUUUCACAAGAGGAGAGAGUUGGAGGUUGAACAUGAAGCGAAUGAAUAUCACCAACAAUGGGAGAACAUCAAUGAAACCCUUACAGAACUUAAAUCAGUUCUAAGGGAAGUACAUGAUGAGAUGAUGAGAUGAUGAAAUGCUUGGAAGAUUUAUCACACCCCUGGAGUUUCCCCCGUGCUGGGAAGGCAACAGAACAAAGGACUGACAGCGAAUUAAACACCUUGUAUGAGAAGUUGUGUGAGAGGUAAGAUAGAUAUAUAG